rnacentral:rRNA from 1 species
UACGAAGGGGGCUAGCGUUGUUCGGAAUUACUGGGCGUAAAGCGUAUGCAGGCGGAUCGUUAAGUCGGGGGUGAAAUCCCGAGGCUCAACCUCGGAACUGCCUUCGAUACUGGCGAUCUUCGAGUCCGGGAGAGGUGAGUGGAACUCCGAGUGUAGAGGUGAAAUUCGUAGAUAUUCGGAAGAACACCAGUGGCGAAGGCGGCGAUCUGGACGAUGACUGACGCUGAGACGCGAAAGCGUGGGGAGCAAACAGG